ensembl:snRNA U1 U1 spliceosomal RNA
AUGCUUACCUGGCAGGAGAGAUACCAUGAUCAGGAAGGUGGUUUUCCCAGGGCGAGGCUCAUCCAUUGCACUCCUGAUGUGCUGACCUCUGUGACUUUCCCAAAUGUGGGAAUCUCGACCACAUAAUUUGUGGUAGUAGGGGACUGUGUUCGUGCUAUCCCCUA